CAACCCUCAAGCCCCCGGGCUUGGUGUUGGGGAACGGCCCGCCCCUAGCGGCAGGCCGGCCCCGAAAUCUAGUGGCGGUCUCGCGAUAGCCUCCUCUGCGUAGUAGCAAUAUCUCGCACUGGUGCUGAGCGACGACCACGCCGUUAAACCCCCCACUUUCUGAAGG
rnacentral:misc_RNA from 1 species